GCAGCCCUUCUGUUGUAAGAAAGGUCUUUGAAGGGCACCGCCAUUUUGUUGUACGGACGGCUGUGCUGCACAUGCGCAGUGCUGCUGAGGGACACCGCCCGAUUCCAAGCCAUGUUCAAAAUGUGUUGGCUCGGGUAGGGGGAGGGGGUGCUGCCCCAGCUCGGGGGGGCUGCCUGUAUGGCCGCAGGAGACAUCUGCAAGACUGGGUCAGCCAUGCGCGGAGUCAAGGGAGCCAGCAAAGAGUUUCUCGGGAGGUUUCAUUCCCUCUGUAAGAGACAGUCUGAACAUUUCUCGUCUGCUUCAUGACUGUCUAACAAGGAAGGAGGCUGAAACCCCAAAGACCACAACACAGGAGUUCUGGCCUGGCUGAGGUGGGAUGUCUGCCAAGUGUUGCCUGCAGGUGUGUAAGCGGGACCAAGAACUGGUAUGCGUUCCCAUGGAAACCUGUACUAGGACAAUGGAAUGGACCAGGUCACGGUUGGACAGCCUGUGCUCUCUGCCUGAACUAGCAACCAGGCCCAGACCUCCCUGAUCUGAAAAGUUGCACCUGGUUCCCAGAGCAACGGGCCUCAUCACAAUGAUUCCCAGGUUUCUCCACCUCUUUGGCCAAUGGCUCCUCACUUCUGAAAAUACUAUAAAAAGGGACUUUCUAACUUAAUACUUCUGAGAUCUCCCCACAGAAGACGACGGAUCUAUUGGCUGACGACCACAAGGACUUCAUCUCUUCUGUUGGAAGCUAUUCCCCCCCUCUCUUUUUCUCUUUGUUUCUUUUUUGCUCUCCAUCUAUAGCAUACUAGUGUUGUUAACAUUCAGUAAAAGUGCACUGCUGUUGUGAUUAA